UUUUUUUUUUUCUAUUUUUUUUUUUUAAAUUCUGAAGCCAGACCGUCUUUCCUCACAGCUCCACGGCUGCAUCUCCGUGGGCACGCAAGCUUCCCCUGGUUACCUGAGCUGCUCCUGCCGUCUCCCGCCUGGGCUUCGCCGUGGUGCACCCGAUCCCGGAAUCGUGCGUCUGCGCCCUGCGAAAGAAGGACCUGCUGGCGGAGCUCCGGCCGGGGUCUCCUGCCUCGCAGCUGGGCGAGGGGACUUGGAGGACAGGGUGAAGCUGCAGAAGACCUGGGGUGGGAUGGCUAGAGAGGACGCCAAGGACUGGGGAAGGGGAAGUUAGGAAUACCUUACAUCCAAUGCCCACCCGUGCUCCGCAGGGCAAGGGCAGCCGUCGCCUCGGCCGCGUGCACCCAGCUCAGGCUGUUCCCAGGGAUUUAGUCUGGGGGGACAACCCAUGGCGAGAUGUGGUGGCAUUUUACCUCAGAGUGGAGCUGAAGAUGGAUAAACAAGGUAUCUGAUGUAUCUGCCUGAGAAGGCAGAGCUGGAGAAAGGCGGAGCGAGGGAGCGCGUGAAAAGAAAGAGAUGCCGAAUGCCGGGUGAUUGUCUGCCGCUUGCUGUGCAUUCUCAUUCUAGGGAGGAUGGCAUAAUUUAUAACCCAGCACAUGGAUAGAGGAACUGUAAAUUGUAGUCUGGAUGUCCCCGGCGCUGUCGACGAAGGAACUGAUGGGCUAGGUGACUGUACCAGUGUCCCCAGAGAAAAUCGCAGCCUCGCAGCAUGGAUUUAAAUGCAUGUGCAUGCAUGUAGAGACAUGAAAAAAGGCUCACAGGCAGAAGGAAUUUUCCUUGUCUUGGAUGAGACUUUUGACUUGGACUUUUGGGUUAAGGAUUUACAGAAAGCGUGGUGCUGGCAUCUGAUCAGCUUCUGGGGUGGCCUCAGGAAGCUUACAAUCAUGGUGGCAUUUGAAGUGGAAGCGAGAGAGAGAAGAGGAGAUGCAACACACUUUUAAACAAGAUUUCAGGAGAACUCAUUCACUAUGUUCUGGAGACCAGAAGGCCAAAAUCAAAAGUAUGGGCAGGCUUGAUUUCUUUAGAAGACUCCAGCGGAGAACUGUGUCUCCUUGCUUCUGAUUCUACAUCUCCAUCCAUGGGCCACUGUUUCAGCAACCUCAGCCAGUGCAACACAACCUCAGCCAAGAAGAGUAUGCAGAGAAAGGAGUCCCCUACCUGCCACAAAACUGUUGUCUGAAAACUGUCUCAUAUUGUCUCAAGUUGUCAUUCAUUGUGAAUUAGACCUGUUUAACAUGUAAUCUGCAACAUGCUUCACUGUCUAAUUUUCCAGAGCCCCUCAUAUAAGGAACUGUAUUAUUGGUAUAAUCAUCAUGGUGAAGAAGUUGGUAUGUGGGGGAGAGAUGACAGAAACAGAGAGUAAGUCAGAGCUGGCUGCCUGACAGAUAAAAAGGAAAUGACCAAAAAAAAAAAAAAAGACACAGAAGAA
rnacentral:lncRNA from 1 species